UCUGGAAACUNUCUGACUUGAGUGCAGAAGGGGAGAGUGGAAUUCCAUGUGUAGCGGUGAAAUGCGUAGAUAUAUGGAGGAACACCAGUGGCGAAAGCGGCUCUCUGGUCUGUCACUGACGCUGAGGCUCGAAAGCGUGGGUAGCGAACAGGAUUAGAUACCCUGGUAGUCCACGCCGUAAACGAUGAGUGCUAGGUGUUAGGCCCUUUCCGGGGCUUAGUGCCGGAGCUAACGCAAUAAGCACUCCGCCUGGGGAGUACGACCGCAAGGUUGAAACUCAAAGGAAUUGACGGGGGCCCGCACAAGCGGUGGAGCAUGUGGUUUAAUUCGAAGCAACGCGAAGAACCUUACUAGGUCUUGACAUCCCGAUGCUAUUCUUAGAGAUAGGAAGUUACUUCGGUACAUCGGAGACAGGUGGUGCAUGGUUGUCGUCAGCUCGUGUCGUGAGAUGUUGGGUUAAGUCCCGCAACGAGCGCAACCCUUAUUGUUAGUUGCCAUCAUUAAGUUGGGCACUCUAGCGAGACUGCCGGUAAUAAACCGGAGGAAGGUGGGGAUGACGUCAAAUCAUCAUGCCCCUUAUGACCUGGACUACACACGUGCUACGAUGGUCGGUACAACGAGUUGCGAGCCGGUGACGGCAAGCUAAUCUCUGAAAGCCGAUCUCAGUUCGGAUUGGAGGCUGCAACUCGCCUCCAUGAAGUCGGAAUCGCUAGUAAUCGCGGAUCAGCACGCCGCGGUGAAUACGUUCCCGGGCCUUGUACACACCGCCCGUCACACCACGAGAGUUUGUAACACCCGAAGUCGGUGAGGUANCCUUUUAGGGGCCAGCCGCCUAA
rnacentral:rRNA from 1 species